GAGGGCAUAGCUCAGUGGAAGAGCGCGUGCUUAGCAUGCACAAGUUCCUGGGUUCACUUUCCAGCACCUCCA
rnacentral:tRNA from 1 species